rnacentral:rRNA from 1 species
GAUGAACGCUAGCGGCAGGCUUAAUACAUGCAAGUCGAGGGGCAGCAUGACUGUAGCAAUACAGUUGAUGGCGACCGGCAAACGGGUGCGGAACACGUACAGAACCUUCCUUCGAGCGGGGAAUAGCCCAGAGAAAUUUGGAUUAAUACCCCAUAGUACAACGGAGUGGCAUCACUGUGUUGUUAAAGAUUUAUCACUUGAAGAUGGCUGUGCGGCUGAUUAGGUAUUUGGCGGGGUAACGGCCCACCAAGCCUGCGAUCAGUAACUGGUGUGAGCGAACGAUCCAUCACAAGGGCACUAGGAAACGGGCCCGGCUCCUACGGGAGGCAGCAGAAAGGAAUAUUGUUCAAUGGACGAAAGUCGUAACCAGCCAUGCCGCGUGGAGGAUGAAGGUCCUCUGGAUUGUAAACUUCUGUUAUAUGGGACGAAAAAAGGGUUUUCUAACUCGUCUGACGGUACCAUAUGAAUAAGCACCGGCUAACUCCGUGCCAGCCGCCGCGGUAAAAC